CCUACGGGUGGCAUCAGUGGGGAAUAUUGGGCAAUGGGCGCAAGCCUGACCCAGCAACGCCGCGUGAGGGAAGAAGGCUUUCGGGUUGUAAACCUCUGUCCUUGGUGACGAAGAAAGUGACGGUAGCCAAGGAGGAAGCCCCGGCUAACUACGUGCCAGCAGCCGCGGUAAUACGUAGGGGGCGAGCGUUGUCCGGAAUUACUGGGCGUAAAGGGUGCGUAGGUGGCCUUUUAAGUUGGAUGUGAAAUACCCGGGCUUAACUUGGGGGGUGCAUCUAAUACUGGAGGGCUAGAGUGCAGGAGAGGGAAGCGGAAUUCCUAGUGUAGCGGUGAAAUGCGUUGAUAUCCUGCAGAACACCGGUGGCGAAGGCGGAUCUCUGGAACGCAACUGACGCUGAGGCGCGAAAGUCGGGGGAGCAAACA
rnacentral:rRNA from 1 species